rnacentral:misc_RNA from 1 species
UACGGAGGACCCAAGCGUUAAUCGGAAUUACUGGGCUUAAAGGGUGCGUAGGCUGAUUGGCAAGUAUCUUGUGAAAUCCCACAGCUCAACUGUGGAAUUGCUUGGUAAACUGCCUGUCUUGAGCCCGGCAGAGGCCAUCGGAACUCUAGGUGGAGCGGUGAAAUGCGUAGAUAUCUAGAGGAACGCCAAAGGAGAAAUCAGAUGGCUGGGCCGGCGCUGACGCUGAGGCACGAAAGCGUGGGGAGCGAACGGG